AUGACCAUUUCUACCCCAAAAUCGCCCUUUUCUCACCCUAAACCCCCUUCCUGCACCAAAAUCACCCUUUCCAGCCCCAAAAUCGUCCAUUCUAGCCCCAAAAUUGCCCUUUUUCACCCCAAAUUUUCCUCUUUCUUACCCCCCAAAAUCAUUCUUUCCCCCCAAAUUCCAUUUUCUCACCCCAAACUGCUCCUUUCUGCCCCCAAAACGCUCAUCUAUACCCCCAAAUUCCCCUUUUUCACCCCCAAAUUCCCCUUUUUCACCCCAAAAUUCCCCUUUUUCACCCCAAAAUGCCCCAUUUUCACCCCAAAACGCCCCUUCCAGCCCCAAAUUCCCCUUUUUUCACCCAAAAUCCCAUUCCUGCCCCAAAAUCCUCCGUCCUCACCCCAAAAUCCUCCCAAUCUUCCACCAAAUCCCCCAUUUUGUCCCAAAUUCCCCAUUUCCACCCCCAAAAUCCCCAUUUCUACCUCAACCCAUUUUGCCCAAAAUCCCUCAUUCUCACCCCAAAACCCACUCCUGUCCCCAAAUCCCUAUUUUUCACCCCAAAAAUCUUCAAUCUUACCCCAAGUCCCCCCAUUUUUCACCCCCAAAUCCCAAAUUUCCCCACAAAAAACACCAUUCUUACCCUAACCCCCCCUUUUUUUUUUACCCCAAAUCCCCGUUUCUUACCCCAAAAUCCCCCUUUGUCACACCAAAUCCUCAACGCCUUUUACCCCAAUUCUUCCUCCAUCCUCAGCCCCAAAAUCCCAAUUUCUCACCCCAAAUCCCCCAUUCUUACCCCCAAAUCCCAAUUUCUAACCCCAAAAUCCCCUUUUUGACCCCAAAAUCCCCAUUUUUGACCCCAAAAUCCCCAUUUAUGACCCCAAAUCCUUAAUGCCUUUUUCUCUAAUCUCUCCCCUUCCCUGCCCCUAAACCCCCAUUUUUCACCCCAAAAUCCCAUUCUUACCCAAAUCCCCCAUUUCUUACCAAAAAUCCCCACUUUUGCCCCAAAUUCUCCAUUCCGACCCCAAAAUCCCCCAUUUUCACCCCAAAUCCUCAACACCUUUUACCUCAAUCCCCUCCACAUCCUGACCCCAAAAUCUGCAUUUCUUACCCCAAAACCCCCAAAUCUCUUCCUAAAAAUCCCAUUCUUACCAAAAAUUGCUUAUUUUUAACCCCAAAAUCCCCCAUUUUCACCCCAAUUUUCCCCAUCUUUACCCCAAAUUUCCCCACUUUUACCCCCAAAUCCCCCUUUUUACCCCAAAAUCCCCCGUUUUUACCCCAAUUUUCCCCAUUUU
rnacentral:lncRNA from 1 species